rnacentral:rRNA from 1 species
CCCUACGGGGUGCGCCUUUCCCUGAACGCCUCCAACCUGGACGACUCGGGGCGCUGGGCCUUCACCGCCAUCACGGGCCCCCGGAACGUUCCCCUGGUGGAGCGGGCCUUCUUCGAGGAGCUCCGGCGGGCCCUGAAGGAGGGGUUCACCCGGGAGGAGGUGGCCCGGGGGACGUCCUUCCUCCUGGAGGGCAUGAAGGUGGACCGGUCCCAGGACCGCACCCUGGCGGCGCUGAUGGGCGCGGAUCUGUUCCUGGGGCGCACCUUCGCCUGGACCGGGGAUCUGGAGGCCCGUCUGCGGGCGGUGACCCCCGAAUCGGCUCUGGCGGCGCUGCGGCACCAUCUGGAUCCCCAGACCUUCUCCCUGGCCCUGGCGGGAGAGC